UGGCCAAAUCAGGGACCCAAAAUUUGGGCUGU
rnacentral:piRNA from 1 species